rnacentral:tRNA from 1 species
AGUUCGGUGACCGAAUUAGGUGGUAGAUUUUUAAUCUGCUUAUGGAGAAUAAUGACCCUCGAACUG